GCAGUGUGGGAUCUGCACGAAGUGGUUCACAGCAGAUACCUUUGGCAUAGAUACCUCGUGAGUACGUUUAUAAGAACUGGAUUCUAAAAUUAAUCAGAGCUGCCCUAUGAUGUACAGUCCCUUACCACAGUGCUGGAGAAGCUGAGCGUCAUGUCUGCACCUGCAUAUUUCUACUUCUGAGUCCUUCAGGCAAUAACUGAGGAGAUGAACCAUGCAGAAAAUACUC
rnacentral:snoRNA from 1 species